rnacentral:rRNA from 1 species
GAUGAACGCUGGCGGCGUGCCUAAUACAUGCAAGUCGAGCGAACGGACGAGGAGCUUGCUCCUCUGACGUUAGCGGCGGACGGGUGAGUAACACGUGGAUAACCUACCUAUAAGACUGGGAUAACUUCGGGAAACCGUAGCUAAUACCGGAUAAUAUAUUGAACCGCAUGGUUCAAAAGUGAAAGACGGUCUUGCUGUCACUUAUAGAUGGAUCCGCGCCGCAUUAGCUAGUUGGUAAGGUAACGGCUUACCAAGGCAACGAUGCGUAGCCGACCUGAGAGGGUGAUCGGCCACACUGGAACUGAGACACGGUCCAGACUCCUACGGGAGGCAGCAGUAGGGAAUCUUCCGCAAUGGGCGAAAGCCUGACGGAGCAACGCCGCGUGAGUGAUGAAGGUCUUCGGAUCGUAAAACUCUGUUAUUAGGGAAGAACAUAUGUGUAAGUAACUAUGCACGUCUUGACGGUACCUAAUCAGAAAGCCACGGCUAACUACGUG